rnacentral:rRNA from 1 species
UGGGGAAUAUUGCACAAUGGGGGAAACCCUGAUGCAGCAACGCCGCGUGGAGGAUGACACAUUUCGGUGCGUAAACUCCUUUUAUAUAGGAAGAUAAUGACGGUACUAUAUGAAUAAGCGCCGGCUAACUCCGUGCCAGCAGCCGCGGUAAUA